UACGAAGGGGGCUAGCGUUGUUCGGAAUUACUGGGCAUAAAGCGCACGUAGGCGGAAUGUUAAGUCAGGGGUGAAAUCCCGGGGCUCAACCCCGGAACUGCCUUUGAUACUGGCAUUCUCGAGUCCGGAAGAGGUGAGUGGAAUUCCGAGUGUAGAGGUGAAAUUCGUAGAUAUUCGGAAGAACACCAGUGGCGAAGGCGACUCGCUGGACAAGUAUUGACGCUGAGGUGCGAAAGCGUGGGGAGCAAACAGG
rnacentral:rRNA from 1 species